UUGGUUAUACUUUUUGAUUCCUUUGUUCGUAAUAUUGUGAAAUAUGGUACUGUUAUAUGUUUUCUAGUUAUAACUACGAUUACCUUGAACCAAAUUAGUUCACUCUGCAUGUUUUAAAAUUUCACGUAUAAUUUUUAUCCUGGCUUUGUGAAUUUUUUACAAUGCAUGUAUUUUUGUAAAUGUGACUACAGUUACGUUCUUGGUGGUUUUACAGAAACAUGUGACACUAAGUUUGAGCGAUAAAAAAGAAAUAAUAAAUAAAUUAGACCAAGGAGAAUCCACGGCAAAUCUUGCACCUAUCUACCAUUAUUAAAGUCAACCGUAUUAAAAUGCUGCACUGACUGAAGAAAACUUGAAGAGGGGAAGGCCGCCAAACUGCGAUGGGUGGUUGGAUAAUUUUAAAAAAAGGUUUGAGAUUCGUUUUUUAACUAUAACGGAAAAAAAGUUAUCUACCGUUUCAUCAGUCGUAGAACAUAUGAAAUAUUUGUUCAAAAGACCACAACUUAAGUGCAAAGGCUAUACUACUUCUGGGAAAUGUCUCUGGAUACCCCAAAGAAGAGGAGCUACGUUUCCAAGAUAAACAAGUUCAAGUUCUAUGCAUACCUCC